GGCGACACAGCAGUCUCGGUGCUGAUUGUCCAGAAAAUGGGAGAAGAGAGCGCCGAAGCGACAAGCGAUACCAGUAGAGGGGUUAAUGACUCAAUGCUGCCGGGUCACGGACAAGUGGAAGAAAGGAGAAGAGAUGUGGAUUUCAGCCUAAAAUGCAUUAAAGAUAAACGGAUCCCAAUUACCGUUACUGUCGUCAUCACAGCUUUGAUCAUCACCGUAAUUGCAC